UGAGUUUGUUUAUAUUUCAUUCUGUUUAUAUUUUAUUCUGUUUUAUUGAUUUUAUAUCAAUCCAAAGUCUAUAAAUAAAGAGCAAAAGGCUCCAAACAAGGUACGUUUUGCAUUCUCUCACACUCAUACUUUCACACCUAACUGAGUUCAACCCUCUCUCCGUUCUAAGCAUCAACUUGCUGAGGAUCGAGGGUCUUCCUACAUCGACGUCUAACUUGAUCGUCGGAGUGCCUUUACAGGUACCCCCCCUCCC
rnacentral:lncRNA from 1 species